AUUAGGUCAUUUGACUUUGCAUUGAAUUCAAAUAAUGAUCUAAAGAUUUCAUUAUUACUACACAACAACAGCGUAGAGUUUCAUGUCUUUAGUGAAGAAAAGAAAGAUUCAACUAAUAUACUUUCCAU